rnacentral:rRNA from 1 species
GAUGAACGCUGGCGGCGUGCUUAACACAUGCGAGUCGAACGGAAAGGCCCAAGCUUGCUUGGGUACUCGAGUGGCGAACGGGUGAGUAACGCGUGGGUGAUCUGCCCUGCACUUCGGGAUAAGCCUGGGAAACUGGGUCUAAUACCGGAUAGGACGAUGGUUUGGAUGCCAUUGUGGAAAGUUUUUUCGGUGUGGGAUGAGCUCGCGGCCUAUCAGCUUGUUGGUGGGGUAAUGGCCUACCAAGGCGUCGACGGGUAGCCGGCCUGAGAGGGUGUACGGCCACAUUGGGACUGAGAUACGGCCCAGACUCCUACGGGAGGCAGCAGUGGGGAAUAUUGCACAAUGGGCGCAAGCCUGAUGCAGCGACGCCGCGUGGGGGAUGACGGCCUUCGGGUUGUAAACUCCUUUCGCUAGGGACGAAGCGUUUUUGUGACGGUACCUGGAGAAGAAGCACCGGCUAACUACGUG